CCUAUUAUGGAUGGCAAAAGUUGGACUGAGCCCCUUAAAGUCCUUUCAGGAUUCUGAGAUGGUAUUUGUCUGCAGGGAAAGAGUGAAAGGCUUCUUUGGCUUCCCCGUUGUUCUCAAGAAAAUGCAACUCUGCAAUCCUCCGAGAAAGAUAUGCAUGUAUUGAAUUAGUAACAGGAUCCUGGAGUGCCGGCUGUCUUUUUGUAUUCAUAGCUUUUCAGAGUUGGAGGUACAGUACAGCACAGGAGGAGGAGGUAAGAGGAGGACAGGGGAUUGUGUAAUUCUUGCAGGAAGAAAGCCAAGAAGAAAAGAGAAAACGUAAGAGCCAUCCGCCCGAGCACAGGCUGUGGUGGAUUGACGGGGUGAAUACUGGACUGCCCUGAAAUGGUCGUGGAGCACAGGACUAGAGGAACUGUUGCCUUUUGCAGUUUGGCUGGAGGUUGCACGAAGCUACCCUGGUGGAACCUAACGUCAUCGUUGCUCCAGGGCCAGAUGUGAUGUGCAAUAAAUAAUGUAACGCCAGAGCUCUCUUCCUUCUAUUUACAUUUGUUUACAUGAUGGAUUAUUACAUUGAUGGAUUUCCGUAUAUUGAACCACCCCUGAUGCCUGGGAUGAAGCCUACUUGGUCAUGGUAGAUGAUAUUUUGGAUGUGUUCUUGGAUUUGGUUUUUGCUGCCCUGACACUUUUGAUGGAGCAACAGACAUAAUGAGAUGGCUGGAACCAGAAUUAGGUGAAUGUCAUGAGGUGGUGAAGAGACUCCAAGUCUAAGAAUAUUGGACAUCCUUCUUCAAGACCUGCCUGUGACUUUCUCUCAGGCACCCUGUUUGUUCCUGGCUCUCUGACCCAUUUGAUUUUUUUUUUCUAAUGGGUUUAUUUUACCUUCUAAACAUGCUCAUGUUUCCUCCAAGCUGUCAAGCCAAGUAAAAAUAAGUCCGUCAUCCCUAAACUAGUUCUGCCCCACAUGUUUUUCUUUUACUGUUUUGAAUAAGUUACUGAAACCUGAACAACAUUCACACUCAUCCUUCCACUUUCUCCAGCUGGAUUCUUCACUGAACUGAGAAUAUGCUAAUGUCCAUGGGAUAUGUCAACAUCUCAGACUUAAGGGAGAAGUCUAACAGCUGGAACACUGUGUUGGGAACAAUGAAGGAGACCAUACUAGAUGUCAAAAGUUAUAUCUGAAGAAGCCUGGCCUUUAGAAAGCUGGAAGUACCAUUUGAACUGGUUAAGAAUGCAGGAAAGAGAAUAGAAGGAGAAAAUGGUUGGUCCAUAAGUGUGUAUGUGAAUUUAAUUAGUAUGAUUAAUAUGAAGAAUUGCCUGUAGUAAACAUUUUCGGUCUGAUUUUAUAAGGAGGGUAUCAUUCUUGGUUUGAUUAUGAAAAAUUCCUGUCAACGGCUCAGUUGUCAAAAGUCUGGUUUCCGAAGCAAUGUUCAUAGAUAGGACUUGGUAAGGCAUGGGAUCAUAAGGGCUUAGAUGUAAAUAAUGACUUAAUCAAUAGAUGGAUUCAUAAUAUAUUAGUAUUUUUUGGAAGGUAGAAGGUAGGAUAAGUAAAAAAAGUUGGCUUGCCUUUGAAGGAUUUGUGCUGUCCCUGGGCCCUUUUCUUUUCUGUUUAUCUUCUCUUCUUGGCCACAUGAUACUGCUGCUGUGAUGUUCUGCUUCAUCACAGACCCAUUGUCAUGGAGGCACAUGACCACUUACAGUGUGAGCCUUCCAAACCACAAAUCUUUACUCCUUUAAGCUAAGAUCCAGUCAAAUGCACCUGAGAAUAAGGUCAUACAGAAAAUUCAAUAUGCCACACCUGAAGGAAUGAACCCCUCUGAGGCUGGGAAUGGUGAGCUUGCAGAGUGUGAAGGUAGAGCUGCCUGGGGCCCUUCAGAGGGUGCCAAAGUCUCUUGGGUCCAGCCAUGUUCCUCUACUCUUCCACAUUGCUAGUGUUUAAUUUAAAUUGCCACUGACCUUUUCAGCUACUUCAGCUCUUUUCCCUCACCUGCUUCCUAGUAGUGGUCUCAAAACUUUGGAAAGGAAGACAUAAAAGCACCAUUACUUUAUGUAAAUUGUCACCAGCACUUCUUCUUUUCACCAUUUCACUAGAUACUAGAACUCCAUAUCCAACUUACUUUAGCUCUCUCUAUGGUAGAGAAUGUGGGGGAAUUUAUUCAAGCGUUUGCCUAUGAAGAAAAGCCUCCAUUUACAUGGAUAACCCACAGGUCCCCUGUGCUCCUAGGUCUAAAUGUCUCCAGUGAAGAGAGUCAGUGCAUUCAAAGGCUCUUGCCCCCAAACACCACCUCUCCUCCUGUCUGACCUCCUCGCCCUGCUCCCUAUUCACACAUAUCUCUUUAUCAAGCUUGAUUUCUGUCCCUGCCCCAGGCUGCUAAUUGGUAUUUAUACAAUUAAAAGAGGGAACAAGUCAGUAGCCUGACACAGAGGACCUCUGAAAGGCUCUGCCCUGCAGACUAUCAAUGCAGAUGCUGAGACUUAUAGGCAACCUUUAGGCAGAGUGCAGGGAAUCUUAUGAAAAAAUUGGGAAACAGUAGAUCUGGAGAAGACACGAACUCCACAAGGAGAGCAACAGAACCAAAAAAUCUGAGCACAGGGGUCUUUCCGGAGACUGAUACUCCAACCAAGGACUAUGCAUGGAGAUAACUUAAGACCCCUGCACAGAUGUAGCUUAUGGCAGUUCAGUAUCCAAGUGGGUUUCAUUGUAAUAGGAACAAGGACUGUCCCUGACAUGACCUGAUUGGCCUGCUCUUUAAUUACCUCCCCCUGAGGGGGAAGCAGCAUUACCAGGCCACAGAAGAGGACAAUGCAAACAGUCCUGACAGACCUAAUUGACUAGGAUCAGAAGGAAGAAAAAGACCUCCCCUAUCAGUGGACUUGGGGAGGGGCAUGCAUGCAGAGGGUGGAGGAAGGGAGGGAUUGGGAUGGGAGGAGGGAAGGAACCACAGGGGGGAUACAAAGUGAAUAAAGUGUAAUUAAUAAAGAAUUAAGAAAAAAAAAAGAAAUUCUCUACUGGGUCCCUGUCAUCUUCCCCUAGCACCUCUCUUUUGUAUUUGCUGUGAGGUAGACAUACAUACACUGUAGAAGCCUAGCCAUCGUCUUCAGGUCCCUAUUGUCUCUCCAACCCUGAUUUAAGAACUGCAUUCAACAUAUAAUGGGACAACUUUGA